rnacentral:piRNA from 1 species
UGGGAUUAUAAGACUGCCAUUAUGCCUGGU